AUUGGAGAGUGCGGGGUGCAGGUGCGGGAGUGUGCCGGACGGAGUGUGUUUGUGCAGGUGCUCAGGUAUGCAGGCGCAGUUGUGCCAGCUCAAAGAUUCAAGUUACUUAAGGAUUUAAGUUGCGUGGCUGUGCAGGAGUGCGGGGGUGCAGGAGUCCAGGAAGGUGUGCGGCUCUGUGUGCGCGCAGGUGGAGGUGUGGAGCUCUGUGUGCGGCCGUGGAGGUGUGCGGUUCUGGGUGUGCGGCUCUGUGUGCGGCUGUGGAGCGGUGUGGCUGUGGAGAUGUGGAGCUCUGUGUGCGCAGGUGGAGGUGUGCGGCCCUGGAGGUGUGCGGCUCUGUGUGCGGCUGUGGAGAUGUGUAGUUCUGUGUGCGGCCCUGGAGGUGUGCGGCUCUGUGUGCGGCUGUGGAGAUGUGUAGUUCUGUGUGCGGCCCUGGAGGUGUGCGGCUCUGUGUGCGGCCGUGCAGCCGCUGCCGUGCCCUCGGCCGGGCGGGCGGCACCGCUGCCCCUGCCCUGCUCGCCGGGCAGGAUCCGGGCGCGCUGCCGGGCGUAGCCGGAUGAGUCACAGCUUAGGGAUGCUGUGGUAACGCGUUUCGCCUGCUCAGGGAAAGUAACACCGGUUCUCACGCAGCAGGUAUAAGUCUGGGAGUUAAUAAAAUUCUGCCUCUCGGUCUGUGCACUUGCACGGGGUAAAAAGAGCCGUGGGACCGAAGCCAAGCGGCUCAGCAGACCUACAUAGCUAUGCAGUUACUUAAGGAUUUAAGUGCUAAUAGUAGACAUGAGGCGUAGGCCAGUGCUGUUGGGUUUGUAACAGCCUGAAACCCAAAGCUGGGAUUCUCAGCCUGAGCAUGGCCUUUGCCAGUUCAUCCGGGAAAUCUCGGCUGAUGUUCAAAGGGCACUGCAAGAGACACCUUUGUACAUACAUUUACAUAUCCUGCAUAAAGGCUUUGAUAUGUACAUGUCUCAUUUUACCGAGCAGCUCUGUGAUUGCAGCAUUUAGCAGGGCGGGUAUUUUUAUAUCCUGAAUGACCUGAUUGGGAGCAGGGAGUUAAAUGCAGAUCUUCCACAUCUCAGGAGAAUGAUCUGCAUCCCAUGUGUUCCAGACCAGACUUCUAAAACUUUCUUCUUGGAGCUGAUCCAUUUUUGAGGAUAUAAAUACCCAGAGAAACUACAUGUUAAAAUUAUGCACUGAUGUAAGCAUGAAUUCAGACAAAUCUCCUUGCUCUAAAGAAUGGCUGUUUAUUUGAGGAAUAAAAAGAAUGUUCUUUCAAUUGCAAAAACCCGUCUCAGGUGCAGCUUCUUCCCAUUUUCUUUUGGCUUUUAGAUGUGCCCCAGACUCCUGUCUAGUUUAACAUCCAUCUGACUUUGGGGGAUUGAAGUUUAAGUUGCCUAACCCGCCCUUCUCCAAGUUGAGCAUCUAAAAUAGACUGGCUAGCGUGAAUUAAUAUUCCAAUACUUAGAUCCAUUAACACAUUUAAUCAAAAAUCCUCAUGCUGUAUUUCAUGUCCUUUGCAUUGGUUAUCCUGCAGUUUUAACCCAGACAAGCAAAUAUGAUUGAAUUGGGGUCCACUGGCUUGAUUUUGUUGUAGCAUUAUGUUUUUCAGAGUUUUCAGUAUUCUGACAAGAUACAUUAAGCACACAUGUAAAACAUGUAGGAAUGCCAAAGAAUUAAAACUGCAGCUUGUCUUGCUGCAGGUCCUGCAGCAUCUGGAUCAGUACAUGCAUUGGUGCAAUGUCUUAAAGGACUCUGCCCUUCUCAGUCCCGCUGCUCCAGCUCUGACCCAAGCAAUUGGCCAAAAUACAGCAUCCUGCAGGUUAUUUAAUUAGGUGGAAAAACUAAUCGUGGUGUCAACAACAUGAAAGGGUGUAUAAAUGAGCUGCUGCUCAGCCCACAGGAGAAAUCAGACUGUAAGGGUGAGGUUAUUUGCUCACCAUUCUGAGCCACUGAAAAAGUUGGAUUUCAGCCAGCGCUCAGGCUUGAGAGUCCUGCACUUAUGUCUGGGUCACCUUCUUGGUACUUACUUUGGCUGAUUGUUUUCUGUGCUGUCUUCAAGCCGGAUUUUGGGGUGCUUCUCAAUGCAUUUCUCUUCCUUUCUCUCAAACACGUAUGCCUGUAUGCAGUGCCUGUGCACCAAAAUGCUCCCCUGAGUUCCUUUCUUUGCACAGUGCCUCUGAUUUCAGUGAUCUGACAGCUGCUUUGGUUGUCUGCUUCCAUAGAGCAGCCUAAUGGCUCUUUACCACUGCCCUGAUUAAGUGUGGCACUUACAGACAUAAUAUGUAACUUUCAUGGUUUUUCUCAGAUUAAUAAAUAGUUGUGGUAUUGUAUAAAUACUAUGGGAUGUGCCUUUUAGGCUGAAACCCUCUAACAUUCAGAUGCCAUGGAAAUGCUUUCUAACAUGUAUUUGCACCAAAGUAACUUCUGUACUUCAGAGAACACCUAAAGUAUUGCAAUAUAUGGAAAUCUGUCCAAGCGUUUUAUCCAGCAAUGUCCUACUAAAUUUGCUUGUGUGCUCUCCUUUUGAGGUGUCUAGAAUUUUAAGGGUGCCACUUUUAUAAUAAUAUUCAAGAUGUUUAAGAAAGUGUUUUCCUUUAUAUAAUCUCUUGAUUAGUGUGAAUCCAGUGAUUCAGACUUAUGUCUGAAUAUGUCAUUUCAAGUUUAGGAAGACCUAUGGAAGGUUUUGCAUAUGUCUGCAGGGUCACAUGCCUUUAUGCUGUCUAAUCUCCAGUCACAUCAUUCUGUUUUCUCUUUUGUGGUUGUGUUAUUCAGCUUUCAAAAGCAGACUGAUUUCUUUUGUCAAAGUUGUUUGACAAGUGCACUGGGAGAAUGUAAUCUCAUACCAAACCAUCUAAGUUUUCCCAGCUCUGCUUAAUCCGAGUUCCUCUGUGCCUGUGUAAAACACAUAUUUUCCUCAUGACUUGUGAAUAACCUGUUCUGUUAUGCAGUGAGGGCUAGCAAAUAUAGACAUUUUGUUCCUAUGGUUACUCUAUUUUAACUCAUCCCAGUUUUGUAUUGCUUCACUUUUUGGCAGGAAAAAAAAAAGGACUAGUUCUUAACUUGGUUCAUGUCAGAGUUAAUUUUGGAGGAAAUUCUGAGCAAGGUAGAUCCAUUUUUCAACCAAGAGGUUGUGCUGGUUUUUAUUGGGGUAGAAUUAAUUUUCUUCACAGCAGCCAGCAUGGAGUUAUAUUUUGAAUUUGUGCUGCAAACAACGUUGAUAACCCAUAGAUGUUUAUGUUUUUGCUGAGCAGUGUUUGGACAUCAUCAAGGCCUUUUCUGCUCCUCACACUGAGCCCAUCAAGGAGGCUGGGGGCACAAGGAGCUGUGAGGGGACACAGCUAACCUGACUCACCAACAGGACACUCCUUACCAGAAUGUCUCCAAUGUGCAUUUCCUGGUUUCCUAAGGAUUAGUCCUGUGCUUGGUCUCUGUAUACAUUUGCAUCCUCAUAGAAUCUUUAAUUACACAAUUUCAUGGAACUCCUUGCUAUGUGAAAGUUAUAAUAUUUAAAAAGAACAAAGUAAAAGCUGAAAGGAAGGUAUUUAAUGUUCAAAGUGUUGAAAUAACAUGCAGGAAAACUGGGGUUUAUUCUUCAUUCAAUCAAAGGUUUUUUCUGUGUUGCUGAAGAUUUUUUUUGGUUUUUUUUAAUAAACCACAAAGAAAUUAAAAAACGUUUGCAUAGAGAAUUUGAAUUCCAGCAUUUAACGUAACUUCUGAGUGUUUGGUGUUGUAGCCUUAAUGCUUUUAUAGCAUUGCUUUAAAAUUAAUUUUGUUUGAGUUCUGAGUCAGUUUUGCCAUGUUAUCUCAGUGCUUCAGGGUUUACUGAAGGAAAACAAAACAGCACCAACUGAAACUGCUUAACAUGAGAUUUCAGAAGAAUGAUGUAAGUAUAAAGAUGUGGUGAUAGAUGACUAGUUUGGUUUAACACAUGGAAUUAUGCAUGUAAAAUCUGUGUUAUCAUAAUGAAAUGUAAAGCUGGGAAUGGAUAUCUGUCGGAGCAAAGCUUCAUGUUUUCUUAAAACUAUUUCCCAGGUUGUGUUCUUUUGUGCUUUCUCAUUGCUUGCUGGAAGCCAAAGUGAUCAUAAGAUCCGUAGGUCACAAGAAAAGGUGAUUCAUUCUAGAAAUAGGAUCAAUAGUCACUUAGAAGAAAUAUUUUUCUGGUGAAGAAGUUACUUAAGAGGCAAAGAACAAAAUCGAUCUCAUACAAUGUAGUUGUACUGAAGAACUGCAGGUGGCAGCAAUAAUUGCAUGGACCAUGGGCUGUGUGUACAUGUUCUUUUCCUAAAAGUUUAUGGUUCUUGAAGUAUGUGUCAGGGACUGUGAAAAUUGUCAGUCAUUUCUCUCAGAAGGAAUUCUAAAGGGACUUACUGUUGAACAACUAUAUAUUUGUUAUAGCUAAAGUCGACAAUUGCACUACUAACAAAAGCCAAUUUUAUUUUAUAUAUAUAUAUAUAACAUAUAUAUUAUAUUUGUAUAGAUGUGUAAAGCUCAGCUGCAUAGGAGGGAUGAGAGAAUGAGCAUGGAAAGGCCUGGAUUCAUGCGAGAUUAAUAAGGUCCCAGAAUAAUUGUUCAGUCUUAUCAUAAAGUAAUUUAUGUGGUGUUUGUUUGUUGGUGGUGCUAAAUUAAUAGGUUAACCUUAUAACAAUUCAAAUUUGAUAUUUUAAAUUUUUCCUCAUCUUAACAUUCCCUUAUGACUGAAAUAAAACACAUUUUCUUUAUAGUUUUAGACCGUAUAUAAUGUUUUACACUUUCCCAGAAUAAAUGCAUAUUUUUGUACUUAUUAGCUGAAAUUUUAUGUACAAAUCAAGCAUCAUACCUGUGCCAACUGAGCUAUACAAGACACUUUGUCUUCCACCAAGUUAAAAGUGUUUCUUUCACUCUCUGGUUGUGCUCUUUGUUUUAAGAGCAUUUUAUGAUGACUGUGGUGCCUGUUUGUGGAAAUGUGUGUGGUCUCUGUCUGGGAUGGGACCAAAAGACCAGGACACAGUUACUUGGCUUGGAGAGUGACAGGGGAAUGUCAUGUCCAUCAGAGCUCCCUUAAAUCAGGAACGGUUACAUAAAACUGUUAACUUUGGAGGGAGAACAAGAGGUAUGGUGGCAGCUGUAACUUUUAUUAUCCAUAGUUAAGAACUUUGUUCUAUUCAUAGUCAUAAGUUUCAAUAGAUCCUAAUUCAGAAGGACAAGAAGCUUGGAGAAAAAGCCCUUCCAGACAGCAGAAGGUUUGACUAAAAAGUCCCUAGACAAACAAAAACCCUAGACUUCCCAUGAAGAUGUUAAAAACAAUAGUGAUGGUAAAGUUACAUGGUUAAAAAAAUAACUUAAUAGAGCUCCAGUAUCAGUGAGCAUGGAAAUAAACCUGACACAUUUUUCCCUGUACAUACUCAAGUUCUAGGAGUUGAAUUCAGUGUAACAGUAAGGGUUGGGGGUUUAGUACCUGUAACAGCUGAGCACUGCUGCAUAUUUACUAUCAAGGGUAGGCAUGUAUGGAGCACUUACAUACCUUAUUUUGUGUGCCUGGUAGAUUGGGAGACAAAACUCUCCUUCAAGCCACCUUCUAAUUGUUGGAUACUAUUGGUAAUUAUGUCACAAAGGAUGUGUUCUGUACUUCACUAACAUUCUUGAUGCAAUAGCAUUGAUUUUGCAAAUUACUGAUUCGGAUGAUUUUUCAAAGUUGAAUUAGGUGAUUAUGACAUGAAAGAAAAGUUGAUAGUAGCAAAUAAAUUUUCAAUUCAUUUUAAACAGAGGCACAGAAGGUAAGUUCUAGUCCUGGGUCUUAAGCAGAUAAGAAAGAUGUAUUUUGGCAUUAGGUAGAUUUUCUACAGAGAAGAUGUCUUUGGGUCAAAUUCUCUGGUGACUUCAGCAAAAGGAAGAAGAAAAAUUAUUGGAGCGGCCUUCAUAGUUCAGGAACACUUCCAAAGCAUCUCCUUCUUUAUAAGCACAUUUCCUAGAAACUAAGAGAAAAAAUCCUUCCUAGACAGGCUUAUGUUAGAAAUCAGGGAAAGAGAGAGCAAUCUGGUAUGGAGAUCACACUUUCAGAUUUAGUUGUGAAUGGAAUUUUAGUUGUGUAAAGAGCUGAGAAAGUAGGUUUGCUAAGCAGUGAUAGCUGGAAUCAGGGUGAACUGAUUAGGUUAAAGAAAAUCAAUUACACAUUUCUAUUGAGGAUACUGGGUUUGCAAUAACCUCAAUCAUUCUACUUUAAAGAGGGCACAGAAAUGGAAAGAAUUGAAGAAUCUUGACGAACAACUGCUUAAAUUUGUGCUAAUUUGAUAAACCUGAUUCUAGAAAGAAUUUGCAUGGUGGACUUUUAGUUAUUUACUAAGUGUGAAUUACAUCUCAAAAGUAGCUCUGGUAUCACACAGCCAAGUUACCUUGGAUGUGAUCCGUAUGAAAGGAAUUCUGUGAAAAAGAUCUGUAAGAAACUUGGCCAAGGCCAGAGAGGUGUCCAGGCAGAGCACCUCACAGUCCAGAAAGCUGUAUACAAACUUGCUGUCUUCUUUCCUUCUGAAAGUCAAGGAAAACUUGGAACAAUUUUUAUUAUUGUCACCUUCGUAAUUGUGCUGUGCUGCAAUAUCUAUGAAAAAAUAUUUGAAGUCAGCUAUUCAGAAUUCAGUAUAUGCUGUGUGCUAUGCUAUGAGUCUGCUACACACCUAGAGGGUUCCAAUUUCAUCAUGAAACAUGUUUCAAUAAAGGUUUUAGAGGUCAUAGAAAUUUUAAAAAUCUACAAGCUCAGGGUCCACAUUUUUUCAGGAUGGGAGAUUGUAAGCAUUUAAAAUAGAUGUCAAUGAGGUUGAUUUUUUUCUAGUAUUUCAAACAGGAUAUGCUCCUUAAUUUGACACUCUACACUUGUCAAAAAAAAGGCAAUAAAUUAAUUGAAAUUUGUUCAUAUAUUCUGGAUAGACCCUUUUUUUAAAUAUUCCAGACAGUACUUUCAUUUUAUUACCAAGAUAUUGAUAGGAUAAAAAACAAGAUGCUAAAAUUAUGGAGUGCUUUCAGCUAAUCACAGAUUAAGGCUUAAUAGCUAUCUGUGAUUAACACUCUGCUUCAGCACAGUUUAAUGUUAUUUUCUUGCUGUGUCAGACAGAUCAAAAGAUUUAUUUCUUGUGAAAAAACAGCAGAACUCUGAAUCCCAGCUUCCUCUCCACAAAAGAAUGCUGGAAAAAAAAAAAGAAUAGUAGCAGUAAGAUAUUCUGAUUAAAGCUGACUGUGAGUAGAUACUUUGAGAAAUUUUGUCAAGAGCUGUGUAAGUACUUGAUUAAUCAUUACAAAUUUAUCUGUGGGCUACAGGAACCAGGCAUAGUGAAUUAGAGGGAAAAAUCGGGUUUCAUCUCUUUCAAGGAGAUGCCUGCUGCCAUACUGAGGCAAAUCUUCUGAUGUAACUUGGCUCUUUAUGCUGAAAUCCUGCUUUGCAGUCAGCUGAGCCGAGGGUAUUCUUAGCCAGUUAAUGCAGGUCAGUGUAGUGCAGCUGCUCUGCUCUGGAAGUAGGACAGACCACAGCUACUAGAAGUCACCAGGUUGUUUCCUAACCAGAGGGGUGCUGGUUAACACUUGCCAGGAGAUACCUCUGCCUAUUUCCCCCACAUCACUGACAAAACAAAACAAGGAAGAAAACCCCUCCAGAAUGGGUCUUUCAGCACUGUGGGAGUUGCAAUGACUCUUGUGAUUGACAAAUUUAAAACUGUUUCAGAUGCUGACAGCCCAGGAUUUCUUCAUCUCUGCUUUAUUUGGAUUAGAUAUAUCUGAAAGAGUGAAAGUACUUUUAUUUUGUCAAAUUCAAGUUACUUUUCAAUGUCUAGUGUUUAAAAUAAAAUCAGCAAGUUCAGUCUAACCAGUCAAGUUCUUUAUUAUAAAGCAAAACUAUAAAAAAAAUUAUGACAAGAAUGCAUUUUCUCUUUCUUGCUUUGGCUGUCUUCACAGUAGAUCUACAAAGCUAAGUUGCAGGAAGGGGCAUCAAAGGAUUGGGACAUUAAAAUAAGGGAUUUUCCAGCUUUUCUUCCUCAGGGCAUAGCUGCUUUUUCUAAUGACUUACCUAAAAUUGUGUUUCCUCAGACCAUUUGUUCAAAGUUAAAUAUCUCUCUUGAUUGUGAUUCUAUAGAACUGUUCGAGUUGGUUUCAUCUGACAGAAAUUCAGUUCUGAAUUUAUGCUAAGAAUAACCAUGAUGGCUUGGCCUCCUUCUUCGUAGUUCAAGACAGAAAAUUACAGGGGGGCAUUCUUUUUCUAGAAACCUCUGCAAGUCACAUUCCUAAUAUAUUAUUUAAUUUGCAUGUUAUUUCCAUCUUGAUGAACUUUCCUGCAUGUCCUUGGGUUUGUAUGAAUAAACAUAAUUGCCGGUCAUAUGAGAUGUAUUUCCAGCUCUGCUUUGCAGUUUUGUAGAAUUAAUUCAUUAAAUAAUACUGAUGCACCUGG